GCUAGGCUUCUCUGGAAAACACACCCAACCUCACGUGCAUUGUCCCUUGUCUCCUUAUGCUUCCAUUCCAGUGGAGCAGAUGGAUGUUUAACAUGGAAUUGCAGAAAUAAUGAUCCAGCUGAAAAAUUAAAAACAAAUCUCAUCUCAAGCACCAUUUCUGGGAGUUUCUAACAAUGCCUUUUAAAUAUUCUUUCCCUCCGGGGCUGAGAGACAAGAAGACUGAGAGAAGAUGGAAUCUUAGGCUUCCUUCCUUUCCUGCUUGAAGAAAGCGGAGCCAAAAGAGCUGAAAUUCAUAAGAAAUCGAUUCCUUCUUCAUUCAGAUCCUUAUCGAGAACUCAAUUAAUGGCUUGCUAAAUCUGAGCCUGCUCAAUUACAUUUCUCGGACCAUCACUAAAAAUUUAAGUAUCUUUAAUUAGUUUUUAUUGAAAAACAUAAAUAAUGUAAGUAUUGACUCUCUUGGAUUUAAGUUUCAGCUAUUGGAAAUUGUAAGGCAUUGAGGCACUUUCAUUAUUGCCUCCAAGUGUCUGGUGAAUCACUGUGGGAUGGCUUUUUAAAGAUAUCCUAUAAAAAUUUCCUGGUCUGUUAUACGAGGUACCGCUAAAAGCAUACUCUCCUUGUAAUUGUGAGCUUAACAGUUUUAAACUGUUUUCAUGUUGGCUGCAUGAGGGGAAAAGGAAAUCUACAUUUUUAUUCUCUUUUAUUCCUUGACCUUGAACAACACCCUAUCUCUUGCUGCAAAAGCCUUGAUUCCUAUGGCUAGAACUCCACGUAUUUUACAGGACUGGUCGAAUGCAGCAAGCUGUCAAGGUGUCAGCCAAUCUGCUUCAAGUGGCACAGGACACAGAACACUGACACCUGAGAUUCCUAAGUGAGCUGCACUGAGCUCAUGGCUGCCACUCAAGGUUGUUAAUCUGUGCUUUACGAGGGUACUUUCUCUGAACCAAAUAUUUGGUUAGAAGGCUAGAAUUAAACUUUCUAAUUAUGAAUUGGAAUGCAUUCUUGAAUAUUUAGCUUUUGGCAUGCAAAGCUGAUUAAUAACCAACCAUUCAAAGACAGAUUAACUGUUGGAGCUCACCAUCCACCCCACCCCCCAUAACCUGUCUUGCUGUUUGUUUUUCCUUCUGAAACAUUCCAGGAAACUCUGGAGGCUUGCAAAUUGUCCAGCAACAUGCCCGCUAUAUGAUUCCUUUCCAAAUAGCUUGUGCGUUUAUAUUGAAAAUAAAUCUACUAUUGACUUGUAAGAAUAAUUUCAGCAUUGAAAACCGUGGUUAGGAAAUAAAGGCUGUAUCCUGGCAUCCUGGCAGUCCAGGAAAGUGGUCUGGUCCUGGAGAAGGGAGGCGGUAUGCUGAGUCGUGCUGAUAAACUGGUCUGUGCCUUCCCAGAUCACAGUCUCUCUUUCCAGGCUGCACACACAUUAUUUCUCUGAAGAUGGAGCCAGAGAUAUUUCACAAAGACAGAAGGGUUUAUGAGAAAAGAAGAGCAGAUAAACUCAUAUCUUUUCUCAAAAAGUACUGAUAAGCCAUGUUUUUCUUACUUGCAAUUUUGGAAUUGGACAUCAGUAGCUCAUUCGUUAUCCACAACUGUCAUUCAAAUCAAUUAAUUAAAAUAAUUAUAAGUACAUCUUAACGAUAAAAAUAGAUUUACUUCUCCUUCACUUUCUUUUAAACGAACAUCUUUUACACAGCCACAUCUAACAGCAAAGAUGUAUUACAUUGUUUAAAAUCUUUUGUCUUGUUUGUAUCAUCAUAUUCUUUAUUUCCUUGGAGUUACUGUUUAGUAUUUUAGUGAGACUUUAAAAAAUGCAAUUUCUGUUUGCUGAAAGCCUAUCUCUCUCUCUCUUUUCUUCCUUCCUUCUUACUAUCUCUCUGCCCUUUCUUAUAAUUUUUUAAAGAAUACUUCCUUCAACUCUCUCAUUGUCUAUCCUCUGAUACAGGCAAUAUUACUGUUGUUGGUCAUAAAGAGAGACUAUUGCAGGAAACAACCAAAAUACUUAUAUUUUGAUUUAAAAAUUGAAUUCCUAAAAAGAAAAUGGACACUCUUUCUUGGCCGGCUUAUCUCUCAGAGGGAAAGAAACUUAUAACCUGACUGAUUUGACUACAGUUUUUUUAUAUUGCUUAGCUUUUUGUUUUAAAUUGAUCAAAGUUCUGACACUUCACAAUAUAUUUCUUCAAUGCUUUCACUAUCACCUUAAUCUUAGAAUUGUUCAAUUCAUUGCAUACACUAAAAUCAAUAAAACCUUUGUCUGGAA
rnacentral:lncRNA from 10 species